GAUGAACGCUAGCGGCAGGCCUAAUACAUGCAAGUCGAGCGGCAAGUUGAGAAGCAAUUCGAGACCUAGAGCGGCGUACGGGUGCGUAACGCGUAUGCAACCUACCUCAUACAGGAGGAUAUCCCGGAGAAAUCUGGAGUAAUACCCCAUAGUUGAUAUAGAGGGCAUCUGAAAUAUGUUAAAGCUUCAUAGGUAUGAGAUGGGCAUGCGUCUGAUUAGUUAGUUGGCGGUGUAACGGACCACCAAGGCGACGAUCAGUAGGGGUUCUGGGAGGAAGGUCCCCCACACUGGCACUGAGAUACGGGCCAGACUCCUACGGGAGGCAGCAGUAGGGAAUAUUGGGCAAUGGUCGGAAGACUGACCCAGCCAUGCCGCGUGCAGGAAGAAGGCCCUCUGGGUUGUAAACUGCUUUUAUCUGGGAAGAAAAGGCCCGUGCGCGGGACAUUGCCGGUACCAGAUGAAUAAGCACCGGCUAACUCCGUGCCAGCAGCCGCAGUAAUAC
rnacentral:rRNA from 1 species